GCAAAUCAUGAUAUCUCAUUAUUAUCAACCAUUUUCAUAAAUUGUUUUGAAAUUAUCCCCUUUUAAAAGAAUUUCAUCUUAGUUUAGGGAGAUCAUUUCUCUUUAUUUCCCUUAUUGUAAUUCAUGUCACAUCGCAUGCCUUUUGCAUGUGACAUGAUCAUCUCACAAAAUCGUUCUGCAUGUUUAAUUACAUCUUUGUACUCUUUCCUUAACUCAAGCGUUUAUCACACUUUUUUGUCAAGUUGCAGCUAUAGACUGCUUUUUCGGCGGGAAAACUUUGCUCUUCUGAUUGUGUCAGCUCUUUUAUCUACCCCUGAGAAGUCACAUCACUCCAACUACCGUUCUUGUCAUUUUGUGAGCUUUCCUCGCGUGAUGUUUUUAGGUUCAUCGUUCGAGGUUGUUAGUUGCCAAUCACGAUCCAUCGCAUUGCCCUUGCGCGAGAUGUCGCGUAUGAAUUGCUCCUUUUACCUUUACCCACUUGUCCUCCAUUUGAACAUGUUAAACACGUAAGACAGGAAUAACAUUAAUCUAAGCAUAUUUCUAAAUAUUUAUGCAUUUACAACAUAAGUUACGUGUUCUGAGCACCCUUUAGGCGUUUUAAUUAACCUCAUUAUUCUAACAAAAAAGACUAUAACGGUCGUUUCCAUACGUUAUCACUUGUAUCUAGGGUCAAGAACUACAUAAACAUAUAAUAAUAAAUUGGUCUUCUCACUUGUACUUAUGCCCCAAUACUUGUUGAGUUUUGUCUGCAUGCUUAAUAUCAUAUGACUCAAUACUGCAUUCUCAUACAACGAGUAUUCACGAAUUAUUUAUUGGAUCAAACAAAGUUUGUGAAAAAAUAUGUUUGAAGUCACAGACAUAGAUGCAGAAAACUUCAUUGUUACCUUUGAAAAUGUCUUUAGGAACUUUACAAAUACUGUUGCAAUAUCCCAAUCUUCAGCCAUAGGAAUAUCAUCUUUUGGCAAAUAACUAGGACCAUGCUCCUCUAAUCUUUCAAACGUCUUUUGACAUUUAAUUGCACCAUCCAACAUAAUGAAAAUAGAAUUCCAUAUUGUUGGAACAUCUAUCGUAAUACAAUUUUUUGUGACAUCUUAUAUUUUUAAAUCUUUAAAUAUUUGCAGUCUAGUAGAAGAUGACCCAACAUAUUUCACAACGUUUCUGAUUCGAAUGAUAGACAUGCAAAUCUUUUAAAGCAUCACUAACAAUUAAACUAAGAAUAUGAGCACAACAUCUAAUGUGAAUAAAUUCACCAUCCAACACCAACCCAUUUGAUUUGCCUUUAAACUUUUUAACCAAGUAUGCAAUGGCUACAUCGUUUGAACUCACAUUAUCAAAUGUUACAGUAAAGAGUCUAUCAAUACCCCAACCUUCUAAGCACUUUUCAAUGACUCUACCUAUUAUAUCUCCUUUAUGAUUAACUAUUUGACAAAAGUUUAAAAUUCUUUUGUGUAAGUUCCAAUCAUCAUCAAUGAAAUUAGUUGUUAUAACUAUAUAAUUAAUAUUCUGCACAAAAGUUCAUGUACUUCUUGUUAAACAAACUCUUUGGUCACUUCGAGUUAAUGCACUUUUUUACUUUUUUUUCUCCCUCAUAUACAUUUGAAAACAAUCCUUUGCAACGACUACUCUUGAUGAAAUCAGAAACUUUGGAUUUAAUGCCCGAAAAAAUUGAUGAAACUCUUCACUCUCUACAAACUUAAAUGGCAAUUCAUCCAAGAUAACCAUACUAGAAAGCAUAACAAUUUAUAACAAUUUUCUUGAGUGAAGUAUGUAGCCAUCAAACUACUUUCAGAAUCUUCCUCUCCUUCAACGUUAUCUCUUCUUACAUUUCUUAAAUGUCUUUUUAGAUUAGUUGUAUCAUUCCUUUUUAAAUCAAAAGCAUAUGAAGUCCUACAACAUUUACAAGUAGCUCUAGGAUAUUUAGGAUCACAUCUUUCUACUAUUUAUAAAAUGUUGAUGAUGGCUUAACCGUUUAUUUUCCCUAACAUUAGACUAGAACAACUUUAUUUUGAAGUUUCAUCCACAGAGAAUGAAGUCAUAUCCUAAUAAUCAUCAAACAAAACACACACAAAAUUUUAACUAUUAAUCAUCAAAUAAAACAAUAAGCUAAGUAAAGUAUAUCACGAUUUUUUUCCUUCCUUCGUAUGGCCAUACUACUUGAUGAACAAUAACAUAUAACAUAUAAAACAAGUCACUAAGAAAGUAAAGCUAAAGAUGAACUAUAAAAUAAGAAAAUGGCAUGCUGAUAUUAUUUUCCUUUGGAGAUAAUUCCAAUGUCAAAGAAUUAAGAGAUAAUUCAAUGUCAACGGUACGAAUCAAAACAAUAAUGAUCAUAAUCAAAUGCCUUACUACUGUUAUAUCUUGCUUCGACUACAUCAAGGAAAUUGAUUAAAGAAGUAAAACAGACGCACUAAAAUGAACGUUUAUUUUAGCGAUUUCAAAAACUUCCAAAUCGACUUAACUAAAUUUGCAUUGCUUAUCGUCCACAAAUAGCCUUCAAACAAUACAAAAUUUACAUAAACUUAUCCCAGCCAUGCCUAAUCCUAAAAUUUACAUAAAAACAACAUGAUUAAUUGUAGUAUUUACAUAAAAAAUACUGUAAAAUCGUCAAAUACCUUAAAAGCUUCAACCAACACUAGAGGCUACCGUGAAAACAAAACCCAUGUCAAAGGCUACCGAGAGAGCCAAACCGACGUUGGAAGAUACCAAAAGGAGAGGAGACUGACGAAUAAUGAGAGAAGACCCAAGAAGGAGAAUGAUA
rnacentral:lncRNA from 1 species